ensembl:lncRNA
GGGGGGGGGGAGAGAGAGAGAGAGAGCGGAGCGCGCGCAGCAUCAACAGUCGCGGGGCGCAGUCUUCGGGGACGUGUCAGCGAGCCUUCGAGCGGACACAAAUGUCCCUCAUAGCGUCCUCAAAGUUUGUGUCCGUGAGAGGCGACGACGCAGAGGAAAUCUAACCGCGGGAGAGGACGCGGAGCAGCGGGAAACACGCCGCGCAUCCGCCGCGGACACCUCGGAGCCGGUGUCCGGAUAUCAACUCGACCGAGGGACAGCGGACCGCUUCUUCACGUGUGUCCCCCCCGACCGCCCUGCAGUGUGGAGGUGAGUGCCGAUACACCAGUUGUGUGACGGUCUCUCGCAGGUGAGGAGGCCACGUGGUCACCUGGCGAGGUGUGUGUGUGUGUGUGUGUGUGUCUGUGAUACCGGGACGGACCAACUUCACAGCCUCACCGUGCGGGGGUUGUGUGUCUGAGGACAUCCGGGGACGUGAUAGAGUGAAACUCCAGAGACAAAAUCAGGGUCAAGGGUCCAGUUAAGCAGAUGAAAUCUCCGAUGAUGAUGUCAUUAAAUCGAAUAAACAGCACGAGGCUUUGUUUGUCAGAAUGGAAUCUGUGUCAUAUGUAACACACUACAGAUGGGAGGAUUUACAGCUUUUCUCUGUUAAAUGUCUCAUUAAAUAUGUAUUGCUUGCUCUUUAGGAGUUUCCUUUUCUCUUUCUACCGACUCGAUAAGCUGUUGUUUGGUUCACAAAACAUUCAACUCAUAAAAGACAAUUUAAGCUUUUGUAAGCCAAGAUGCACCCACAAACACAACUUUCCAGAGGACAGAUCAGUGACAUCACAAGUGCAGCUGUAUCACAUCUGCAUGCAGACGACACGAAAACAGGUAAAAACAUCCUUUCUCAUUCACUGGACAGAGAAUUAGUUUUCACAAAAUACACAUUUGAAUGUUUUAAAAAAAUUUUUUUUUACAACAUUUUAACCAAUUAACAAAUAACAAAUAAUUCAUAAUUGUGUACCUCAACACUUUUAAUUAAAAAAAAGAAUAGUCUAAAUGUCAGUCAUCGACUGGAGAAAAUCCGUCGUGAUGUACAUUAUAUACAUUUUUUUUCCUCACUCUGACAGGCCCAGUAUCAUUCCUUUCUAUAAUCUGUUUUUUUUUCAUUGCCAGAUUUUUAACCUCCUAUUCCUAAAGACAUGGUGCAAAUUGAUUGUUUUACAGCUGUUGACGGUGUUUUCUGAUUGAGGGAUUGAAACAGACACUUUAUUAUAUUCCCAAAACCCGGCUCCAUUCAGUACUGACAUUUGUGUUCUCCAUGCACACAAGCACAUAUUUGACAAGAUAAGGCCUCAUUUCCAUAUUUAAACAUCCAAAAACUUGCUUCACAACAGACGUAAUGAAUUGGGGAAGCUUCAUUAAAAUCUUCACUUUCACUUUCGCCACCUUUUAGAUCCGCUCAACUCUCGACCAGCUUGAACUGUAAACCGCUUUUAUCAAAAUGACCACAUCCCCAAUAGAAAAGCAUAAAAAUAAUCAUGUAAUAUCACCACGUGAGCUCUGAGUUGUAACCGCGGCGCCCCCUCCUCCCCCAAGAGCGUCUGCUCGUGCUCUGCCGCUUGGAUGGCGUCUCCGCGGCUCGUCUCCCCGCGGCCUGUGGCAGAAAGACAGCAGCUCAUUACGGGCGCGGAGGCUCGGGCUUCCCGCCGGCCUGUCAGGGGUCAUCGAGGGGCGAGCCUCCCUCUUAGAGCCCCGGCUUGUUACCACGGCACUUUGCGAAACCGCCGUUAAUUGGAAUGAAUUCAUUUUGCCUGACAGCUUUACUGACGUGAGCGCCUCUCAUGUCCGUCUCUGGGCCGCGGCGAAGCGUCUGCGAGGCCUCGGAUUGGAUGGACACCCCCCUCCCCCCCCCCCCCUCAGUAGAAGCAUUUUGAUCGCCGUGGCAUAAUGUAGUGAAGAAGAAGAAACACAGUUAUGCUUCCUAAGUGAGAGCAUAGUCAGGAAUGUUGUAUUCUGUGUCCGGCCCUCUUUGGUCACAUCGUUCAAUGCAUCAGUCCACUCUAGUGCAAAGUGCCAUUAUUUGUUAGUUUGAUCAUUUUAGAUUGGCCUCAUUAUUUGGAUCUCGUUGUAAUAGGACUGCAACGUCUGAGUGUGAGCCUUUGAGUGUAGUGUAGAGAACAAGUUCUGACGUUAAAAACAAAUCUUGGUAAAUUUUCUGAUAUGUAUUUUUUUUUUUUUAAUAAAUUAUUAUGUUCAAUGAGCAACAUGUUUAUGGACUUUCUGAAGACUUUUUGCAAUGUGAAUUUGCAGUUCUGUUUUAGAAUAAAGGGUGGGAAUUAAAGCUUUUUUAAUACUGUUUUUUUAUCCGAUUCAUUGAUUAAUCGGAAAAAUAAUCGAUUAAUCGCUUAUCAAAAUAAUCGUUAGUUGCAGCCCUACUUGGUAAACUGACAGGAUUCAGUUUGGACAUCAUUGAGAAGACUCCCGACUGAGUGGAAUAACUGCAGUUAUUUUGAAACAGAUAUAGAAUCAAAUAACCUGUAAUAUUAACAAUUAGACAUUGAAAGAAGUAAGAUAUUUUCUUUCCAUACAUCACAUCCUAAAAAUGUCUUUUUGUACAUUAAAACCCUGACAACACCUGAAGGUGUAUUCUAUGCAUUAACAUAUCACUUAUGGAUGUGAAAAAAACACAAAAAAACAGACCAAAUAUGUAAAUACGGACACUUAAAAUGAGUCAUGCUUCUUUGCAUUCACAGUGUACAAAGAAUGUUGAUGAAGUUGUUCUCAAACAUGACGGAGUGGCUCACAUUAAACCCGAGUAAUCGGCCAGAACAUGAACCUCAGAUAGAUUAAAAAACGCCCGUCUUAAGAAGACAUUCCUCCAUGUAAUUUGCUCUAAAAUCAUAUUUAUCCUCCAGAAUAUGUCAGUAUUUUAUUCAGUCCAUUUCAACUAGGUCAAAUUUCAAGCUAUAUGUCUUGACAGCAUCACCAGCCGCUUUAAAUUGGAUAUAGAUGCUAUUGGAUAACCUCAAAGGAUCAAUACGAAGUUGUUGCCUUGCUGUGACAACAACUUUUUCAUAUGGAACCAUUUCUUUAUUUCGGUGACGGUACAAUGCUUAGGUAACAAAUCAUCACCGCGAUCAAUAUGUUACUCCUUGGCUUUAGCAUGCCCCUUAAAUCUGCUGCCGACGCCAUUAAAAAUGAUAUAGGACACAUUUGGAAGGAUGCAUGCCCUCAUACGGUAUCACUGGGGGGGGGGUUAACACUUCUAAUUUACAAUUCUCAUGAACAUGCACUCAUUUAUGCACAUUUAGGCAUUAAUCAUGCUCACGCCCGUCACUGACAUGGUCUUCUGAAGUCAGAAUCUGACUUAUGAAUAUGAGCUCGCUCAUACAGCGGACGGCGGAAAUGGACAACGUGGUUUCAACGCCACCCGCCGCUCCACACGCAUCACUUUUUGACUUUAAAUGCACCAUAAUUAAGCAAAUGAACAUCACGCUGCAUUGAAGAACACUUGAAACUGGCAGUUGUGACAAUGAACCCAUGUUGAUGUUUACUGGAGGUGAUACAUCCAGUGAGAACUUCACAAUCUGACCUGCUUUUUGCAACCAGAGGAGUUUCCACCUGCUGGUCAGUGGAGAUAAUGCAGGCAAAUGGAACUAAAGUGAAAGUUAAGAUAAAAUAAAGUCUAGAUAGUCUAAACCCCCCCCCCCCCCCCCAUCAAUGUACGUCAAAAAGUUGUAUUUUAGAAACAUUUGUAACGCCGAUGGUAGCCGCAGCAUCAGCUCAGGUAGUCAACGCAAAAAGGUUAAACAAAUGCCAACAAUAAUUGUCAAUCCUGCCUUUUGACCACGCUCUGGUCCCUCCGCGUCGCGCCACCUUGAUUAUCAGCGGCGUUGCGGGUCACGGACGUCUGGAACCUGCUCGGGCGAGCGCAGAGCGGGUGUUCUGAGGAAGCGAGGCGUGAUGGUCUUCCCGUGCGGCUCAGGGAGGGAACGAGGGGACCGAACUCACAGCGAUGUUCAUCACACUGCGGGCUUCAAUCCAGCCUGUGUGUUCGUACUCUGGGAGAAGCAUCGAUGUAGCCGCCGAGCGCUCAGCCGGCUCACUGAGCACCGUGCGAAGCUGGAAUAUCAUGUUUAUUAAGGGGAAGCAGGCUUCGGGUAUAAUGUUCCCCCUGUACGCGCGACAUGCCGCCUGCUUCCGCUUCAGGACGAGAAUCCGGCAUCCGGCCUCUUUUAAUUAUUGACAUCACCUUGAACGGCAGCGUCUGUUGUAGAAGUUCUUUUCUAAUCUUUUGAUGUGAUCCUGCGAUUCAGAUUCUUCAUUUAAACUUUCAUUUCUUUAUAAUGUAGUAAUGGCUAUACCUCAAUAGGAACGCAUCUAGAGGUGGUUUUCUCACGUCCUAUUUCAAAUACUAAUGCAAGGCAACACACAAUUAACAAGUUUUUCUUUGUAAGUGGAUGACAGCACAGAACAACAGCCUCUCUCCUGAAAUAUGACAUGAUCAUUAGUGAGGAACUGUAUUGCUUUUGUUUGUAUGCCGGCUAUUUUUCAGCUGAAUUGUGGCGUAGGUACUAAUUAGGAUUUUUGCCACGAGUUGUGCGAUUUGUCUGGAUUUAAUCUUUCCUUUUCCAUUUGAGCUGCAUAUUUCUUUUUGCAUGAUAGAUCAUUUAAAUAUCUUCUCUGUGCAGCUGUCUGCGGUCAUUUUGGGUGGAAUUGACGCAACCUGCUCCAACACAGAGGUGGCGAGAGGAGCCUCCAAUGAGCUCUAACCACCUAUGUCUGGAUAGCACGAUAAAUUGGAAAAACAACUUACUGAGAUAUCGCGGCUAUAACUAAUUUGUCAUUUUCUCUGUAUAGCUUUCUGUUCUGAAAUGCCGUAAAUGAGAACGCCGCCUCGCGAAAGUGUGACGGGGAAAGAGAGGAGAGUGUAAGUGACAGAAAUGAUGAGAGACGCUGCACAGCUGAAUGCGCCGGCAUGGCGAUUACACGCGUCCGAUCAAAACUACACGUGAAGGCGGCUUCUUAGCCGCGAUGCAACAAAACAAUCUAAAUCAAAACAUGCUGCACAUUUACAGAUCAGUCCCAUCGCUGACAGAGCGGGUGUCAGGUGAACUCACCUCAUUUUAUCAGGUCAUCAGCAUUAGAACAUUGCUACCAGUGGGGAUUUACUGAGUAUGAGUGGAUCUUUAAGAAAACAAGGGGAGCAGUGAACGGUAUUACUUGGCGUCAGCGCACAUACAUUGUUUGCACUAAUUUGGCAUCGGGAUUGUGAUGUCGGAUUCCACUAAUCCGGAGUUUCACAUGUGUAGGUCUCAUGCAGUUUAGACUAAACUCUCCUCUAACGGCCUGAGAAGUACCUCUGCAGAGAGGAGCCUUUUGGGGUUCUUGCACUAGCCAAUCAGAGCAGGCUUUCUUAGGGCGGGGUGCAAUAACAAUAAUUAAAACAUGUUGUAGACAUCUAAGAAGCAAUAGUUGAAACUGUGGCUGUUCUUUCAAAUCUGCUGCACUUCCGCUCCGGAUCCAUCUGCUUUAAUAAUUCCCUUUUACCGCCUGUGUUUGGGCUCCUCAUUUACACUUCCUUCCUUUCUCCACAUUCAUGAUAUGUUUUUUACGAGUUCAAUACAGAGAGGCUGUAUCACUUUUUUUUACAAUUAAAGUCAAAGUGUGUAUGAACCUAAAUAUAAAGUGUUUACCUACCUGUCCGAAAUAAAAUGACUCAUUUACAUCAUUUUGUCAGAUUGUUGUUAUUGUCGCGAGGGCCUGUCAGGAUAAUAUAUCCAAUAUAUUGUCCCAAUAAUAAUUUGUAUUUUAAAAGACCAUUUUAAAACACUGAUGUUAUUAUAAUAAGAGCAUCCUGUCAAAGAGUAAUUCACUUUUAAUUCUUAAGAAUAUUCUGAUAUUGGACUCGAGUAUGAAAAAUGUUUGAAAAGGCCAAAGUCACUCUGACCUCGGGUCCGUCCCGCGAAUUGCUCCAAUUAUGUACAUUAGAUGUACUUAAACAUAUAAAAAGUCCACCCUUCCAUCCAGAGACACAAAGAAGAAGCGGUGUUACAUUGCUGAGCUCUGAAACGGGUUUGAAUACGAACAACCAGCUCAGCAACAAGCCGUCCAUCACUGGGGGAGAAAUGUGCCAAUGUGGCAACAUCCAGCCGGCUCGUGUUCUAAAGUGGAGCGAUGCGACGUGUGCUGCGCCCAUUUCCUCCCGAGCACCUCGUCCUGCGCUGCUUAUUUAGCGUAAUGUGCCCCCCCCUGCCCCUUAGUGGCCGAAGAAGGGCCGUUCAGACCCACAAAGACCACCUCACAUUAAGUGAUCCGCAGGGUCAAUUCAGCCAAAGGACACACACACACCCACACAAAAACAUUUCUUCACAAGUCCGAGUAGCAUCUACCCACGUAGACACGCAGGUGUAUGAGCGGAGGUUUUAACAUUUCUGCUUCCAACGCAAGGCAAUGACACAACAGUUCCAGUUUCCAGCACAGAAACAACCAGAGUGAAAGCGGUUGUCGAUGAGUUUUUCUUUUAGUUUUGAACAGCACAAACAUGUUUCACUGUCCUUUUGAUUUUGGGACGGAAGUUUCGGAGGAAAAUAACUUAACCUUCUGGCACGUAAAACUCGAUCUACUAGAACUAGAAUAUCCCCGUCGAAAUGGAUCGCCGUUAUGAAUCUCUAUUUCAAACUACGACGGUCUGACAAUAUGUGAAAGCAGCUUGUUUAGUCAUGAUAUACAUAAUAAAUACACUGUGCACAUGUGCAGAGCAGUAAGGGUAAAGGCAACGCAACCAACCUGUACAACACUUUUUGUAGCAUUGUUAUUAUUUUGUUUAAUGACGGCAGUCACGAAUUUAGGCAAAUGAUUAAUAAGUCAAUGGUCCAAAACGUAUCAACCGCUAUAUGACAAGCCAUUCAUCAUUUCUGACUAAGCAUGGCGGUUUUCAUCGAUUAAGUAAUUGUACUUUUUUUAAUCAUACCUUCAGAAAUGUCGUACAGGAGGUGGGCCGAGCCAUUUUAUACAACGCAUUAGGGUUGCGAGAGUCUUGGUGUUGUCCCUAAUUAGGACUGUAGAGACUGUAAUGGGAGCUAAUGGAUUGCUAGACAGCAGCAUCGAACCGCCAGAGAAUCAUAGGAAGACAUUGGAUUCCCUCAUGAAACAUGCAUCAGUGACAGUGAGACGAAGCCCAGAGGCAGCCGGUGUUUGUUUGGGUUGGAGUUGGUUGCGUGGCCAUUCCUUUUCCAACCCGCACGCCAGCUGUCGACAAAGACGCCAAGCAGCUUUGAUCGGCGAAAGGAGGUGUGCUGAAGUUGACGUCGCAAACGUGGCCCUGACUGUCCUCGACCUGACUGCCCACGCAGGGGACACCGACUGGCGUGCACGCUCGAUACAUUUUUUUUUUUUUCCUUUGGGGGUUAGGGUUAGGGUUAGGGCAGUUUUAUUUUCUGAAGCUUCUGUUUGGAAAAUCAAAUUAUGAUUUUGAAGUUAUAGUGGCUGUUUGUCUGCAGUUGUGACUUCCUUUGUUGUGAGCUGACUGAUUCUUUUAAUAAUGUGAGACUUGCAUAGAAAGGAACCAGAGUCUGGCACAAAGCGGUGCAUCAAACUCUAACAGACUCCAGUAAACAAUGAAACCGUGAAUAAUCACUUCCCAUUGUUCCCCCUGAUGGGGGCACCUGGAUUACUAAUAAACGGCUGAAUAUUUACUCCUUCCCAUCCCACGGUUGACGGAUCUCGCUGAGCCGUUAAAAUCUCCUUGCUGAAAGCUCCGAUUGACAAAAGGAUCAAACUCCAAAAGUCAGCAUUCGUACAGGGGGCCUUGGGGAGGAAAUUGAGGAGGCAGUUGAUGCACCUGCGACUGAAGAUGUUCAUUGUCUUCACUAAUCCAUCACUGGAAUUUCAGACAACACAGGUGCUCAGACGGUACAUACACAGGAGAUUACUGCUGAUUCAUUGCAUGUCUAGAGCUUAGAGAACCUCUGAACACAGCUCAAGAACUAUUUCUAACGCUUGCCUAAAUAUACAACCAUUUGACACUUUAGACAAUUGAGAUGCUCAUUGUGAUGUUUAAUUGUCAUUUCACAGCAAUAGAGAAAGAUUAAACUUAAACUGAAUGACUAUUCUCUCUCUCAACAUUGGCUGAUGUCUUCAGCUUAUUAUUGGUUUAAACCUUAAAGCUAAAUUAUUUAAGUUAAAUGUCUUCAUUCAAAAGAAACUUAAAAAUGACCUGUUCACUAAAAACAGCUAAAGUGAAGGUGCCUGAAAGUUGUAUUCUAUCUAAUGGCCACCAGGGGCCGAGUCCGCGGGUUGAACAAAGAAGUCAUUAGAAAAUGAUUUAUUCCCUCCAGUAAACAUUGUAAACUCAGUCUCUACUUUCAUGUCUUCUUCAUUGCUGAUAUAUAUUCAUUGACGUCAUCGAUCGUGCUCUACUACCGUUGUCUUUGCCUUUUUCCAGACACAGCCACCCAGAAUAGAUCGCAACCUCUAUGAAAAGAUGUUCAAUUUGGACCCUUCAAACUGACCGUAGUUUGAAUCAGUUAUUAUAAAUGUAUUAUAAAUGGUGCUGUAUGCCUGCAGUGGGGCUCACUCAAUGCGUUGCAUUUUUGUCGACAAGUUUCAUGAGGAAAAUAUGAGAUUGGCGUUGAGCGAGAUGAGUUAUGAAACCUACCAUGAAAAAGCCUUCUGCAGAAAAGAAUCGUCCCGUCUUUGCCGUCUGUAUUCCAAGAACUGGACUCUGUAAUCUCGCUGAAUAGUGAUGCAGAGUCUGUUUACAUUGAGACGGGGGUCAAACAUCUCAGAUGGCAGAAUUGUAUAUUGAUCAAGAUGGACUGAGGCCUAGUCAACAGAAAGACCUGGGUCGAGACCAAGUCAGGUCCAAACUGGUGCGAGUGCCCCACUGCAUGACACACUUUUGGGAAGAUGCGGUACGCACACUGUAUCUCACAAGGAGACUAUUGCAAAAGGUUAUACGGUUGUUUCAAAGACCCAAAUUAGUGUGUCCACAACAAAUUCUCAUUCUCAAAAAUACAACUUUCUCUGUUUCCUGGAGCCAUACCAGAAAAUCUGUUGAGUAUAUCGUAACGUGUCCUCGGUGGCUGCGAGAGAGAUCGAUAAAUGUCAGAGAGGAAUUAAUGUCCUGUUAUUUUGGCCACCUGCGUCCACAGACGCACAAACACAAACACACACGGAGAAAAUCUAAUUCUGCCAGCUCCGUUUCUUCAAGCACACAUCUGCCUUCACCCCGAAAAUUGAGCUUGUGCAUUUGUCGAGGUCCGUCCCGGUGCUCCUGGUGUUUCUGGAGAAACUGCUAGUGGCACCUAAACAAGGAGAGUUGUGCUCCGGGGGGAUUCAGGGUUGGGGGACUUAGGAGAGCGAAUGGGAGGAGGGGAGUUGGAAAGAGAGAAGACGUUUGUCCUCCGCCUUUGCUCUUACCACAUGAGAAACGUCCGACCGGCACACAAAAUGACUCAUUUCCAGCGACUCCGUUUAAUGAUUCAACUUCCUGCCAGUUGUGUUUUCUGAUCAUAACACCAGCUCACUUCCCUUCCAACAUGGCCGACAUGUGUCCGAUUCUCCAGUCGCAGAGGCGUCCUCGCUUUUCCGAUCUGAAUUUCCUGCCGCUUCUUUUGCGCAAACAAUGAGAACUUCAUUCGACUCCUCCUUUGUUUUUUGG